UCUUCGGUACUGGUACUAUGUUAGCUACCCAUUCUGGGUACUUGGAGACUUGUAGGAAGCCAGCAUCAAACUGUUUCUUGACUUCUUCUUUUAUCUUUAACACCAUUUCAGGUCUCAUUUGUCUUAGCUUCUGUUGAAUGGGUUUGCAUUCUGGUUUCAGUGGGAGUCUAUGGACCACUACAUCCUCAUCCAAUCCUGG
rnacentral:lncRNA from 1 species